rnacentral:rRNA from 1 species
AACGCGAAGAACCUUACCGGGGCUUGACAUCCUGCGCUAUCCUAGGAGACUAGGUUUCCGGGCAACCGGACGCAGAGACAGGUGCUGCAUGGCUGUCGUCAGCUCGUGCCGUGAGGUGUUGGGUUAAGUCCCGCAACGAGCGCAACCCUUAUCCCUAGUUGCCAUCGGGUCAAGCCGGGCACUCUAGUGAAACCGCCCAGGAUAACUGGGAGGAAGGUGGGGAUGACGUCAAGUCCUCAUGGCCUUUAUGUCCAGGGCUACACACGUGCUACAAUGGUCGGUACAAACCGUCGCAAACCCGCGAGGGGGAGCUAAUCGGAAAAAGCCGGCCUCAGUUCGGAUUGGAGUCUGCAACCCGACUCCAUGAAGCUGGAAUCGCUAGUAAUCGCGGAUCAGAACGCCGCGGUGAAUACGUUCCCGGGCCUUGUACACACCGAGACGAC